CAAACUUGGUCAUUUAGAGGAAGUACAAGUCGUAACAAGGUCUCCGUUGGUGAACCAGCGGAGGGAUCAUUACCGAGUUUACAACUCCCAAACCCCUGUGAACAUACCACUUGUUGCCUCGGCGGAUCAGCCCGCUCCCGGUAAAACGGGACGGCCCGCCAGAGGACCCCUAAACUCUGUUUCUAUAUGUAACUUCUGAGUAAAACCAUAAAUAAAUCAAAACUUUCAACAACGGAUCUCUUGGUUCUGGCAUCGAUGAAGAACGCAGCAAAAUGCGAUAAGUAAUGUGAAUUGCAGAAUUCAGUGAAUCAUCGAAUCUUUGAACGCACAUUGCGCCCGCCAGUAUUCUGGCGGGCAUGCCUGUUCGAGCGUCAUUUCAACCCUCAAGCACAGCUUGGUGUUGGGACUCGCGUUAAUUCGCGUUCCUCAAAUUGAUUGGCGGUCACGUCGAGCUUCCAUAGCGUAGUAGUAAAACCCUCGUUACUGGUAAUCGUCGCGGCCACGCCGUUAAACCCCAACUUCUGAAUGUUGACCUCGGAUCAGGUAGGAAUACCCGCUGAACUUAAGCAUAUCAAUAAGCGGAGGA
rnacentral:rRNA from 1 species